rnacentral:rRNA from 1 species
GACAGAGGAUGCAAGCGUUAUCCGGAAUGAUUGGGCGUAAAGCGCGUGUAGGCGGUCCGGUAAGUCCGCUGUGAAAGUCGAGGGCUCAACCCUCGAAUGCCGGUGGAUACUGUCGGGCUUGAGUACGGGAGAGGCGAGUGGAAUUCCUGGUGUAGCGGUGAAAUGCGCAGAUAUCAGGAGGAACACCGAUUGCGAAGGCAGCUCGCUGGAACGUUACUGACGCUGAGACGCGAAAGCGUGGGGAGCAAACAGG